GAACUGGUUAUGCAGAGCAGCCAUUGUCAAACAAAAACUGUAUAUAUAUUUAUCCUGAUUGUAUUUGUAUGUGUAUGACUGCUGCCUAUAAUCCCUAGAAUCUCUUCUUCUUCUUCCUUCAGCUCCUCUGGAUGUUACUCGGUUUCUAUCAGGGCCAAAAGCUUGAAGCUCCAAAAGCCUCACUCUGUGUCGGGUAACACGAAGAUUUCGGUGACAUUUUCAUCUCCAUUUGACUAAACUCUUACUCAUCAAAUUGAUAUAAUAAUCUGUCUCCCGUUUCGCGUCUCUGCCGGUUCAAUCUGGUUCCACUGCCCCUCAACAAUCUUGGCAAUCCGAUUCGAGCCAGUUGAACUUGUGUUUUGAUCACAUGGGUCUCUCUAGUCUACCAGCUCCAUCAGAAGGUGUUCUAUGUGUGCUUUUAGUAAACACUGCCUUAUCAGUCUCCAUCAUCAAGGGGAUAAUCCGAUCAGUCCUGCAAUUAGUUGGUAUCCGUCUCUCAUCAUCUUCCCCGCCGUUAGCAGACUCCUCUGAAAACCUCUCAGAAUCAUUUGAGUUUCAUGUCAGUCCCUCGGCUAGUUACAUUGAGGAGAUCAGGAGCAGUAUCCCAGCAAUUCAGUUCGAAUCUGUGUGUAGCUUCAAGCAGCGGGAGCACGAAUGCUCAGUCUGCCUAACCGAGUUUGAACCUGAAUCGAAGAUCAACCACUUGUCCUGCGGCCAUAUUUUCCAUCAAAAUUGCUUAGAGAAGUGGUUGAAUUACUGGAACAUUACAUGCCCUCUUUGUAGGACUCCUUUCAUGCCCGAGGAGGACGCACCCUGCUUCUGGUGAAGUGUUUACAAAGCAAGAAAAUCGCGAUGAAUGUCAUGUACAGCGUUUAAUGUACAGGUUGUGUACAUGGUUGUGUACAUGAUUGGUGAUAUGACCGAUGUUCUCGUGAAAUAUAGGGUGGAGUUUGCUUCUUUCUUAAUAAAUGUGUUAUGCAUCUAUGGAUGGAGUUUUCAUUUCCUUAAGUUAACAUCAAGGAACGGAAAUUAGGAGGCGGCUUUGAAGGACCAUAUCUUCUCAAUGGUUUGAAAAAAAAUGGAAUAAACCCUAAGAAUUGAAGCAUCAAUUGAGCACUUGAAACAGCUGCAUGGAGGAAAAAAAAGCUACAAAAUAAUAGAGAGAUGUAGAUGUUGCUUUUGGAUUUGGAUCAAAGGGAGGACCGCCUGAAAAUAACGUUAUAGUAGUGGUCCUUUUUUCUUUGUACAGCUUUACUAAAUAUGUUUAUUCUACUUUUCUAAGUUAAAUGGACUUAGUGGUGGUAUUGGUACGAUUACCGUAUCAAAAUUCAUGUACCAAUUACUAUACCAAAGUUUUUUGUAUGAUAAAAUCUAUUACCAUUACCGUAUCGAA